rnacentral:misc_RNA from 1 species
UUUUAUAGCAGCUACACUUCCACUAGCACCAAGCAGAAUCCUGGGUUUCCUUGGAGCAGAAGUUACCUGGACUAACUCCCUUUGUGUGGUUGCUGGAUCAGAGCAUGCCAUUACCUAUCCAACCAAUGCAAGCAGUAAUUUGAAAAAAAUACAACUCAGAGUUUAGAAGUCCAAAAAACAAAUCACAACUCACCAGUAACUUAAAAAAUUCACGCAAAAACUUACUAUCGGUAACAACAGCCCAAGUUACUUGUGCAUAAAAACAAAUCUUCAAUGUAUUACAACAUUAUUGCACUCAUGUAUUAUCACUCAUGCUUUUUUCUAUCAUGAAAGAAGGAUAACUACCAAACCACCACACUGUCCUACUCAUCAACAGCUGAAAAUGCUAUCCGUGUCUGGCCUGUCGCUAACACACUUAACUUGCCUGCUAAUUUUGCCAAGCAUCUCAGAGAUUGAAGAUGCAUGCUUAUGAGCUGUGUCACCUGCUACAAAAUCAUGAAUUACUCCAUUUAUUUGAACCCAACUUCGGCCAGCAGGCUUUUUCACACCCAUCUCAACCAUCUUCUGUUUCACAGUAGCAACAUCCUGCCACCUUUUAGCAGUAGCAUAAGCAUUUGCCAAGAGCAUAAGAUAACCAGCUGCUUGGUCAGGAUCAAGCUCAGCAACCAAUUUUGGAGCCACAUGAGAAGCAAGCUCAGCAUUUUUGUGAAUUCUGCAACCACCGAGUAAAGCACCCCAGAUGGCAACAUCUGGUUUCAUGGGCAUGUUCUCAAUGAGAUCAUGUGCUUCAUCCAACAAUCCAGCACGACUCAAUAAAUCAACCAUGCAUCCAUAGUGCUC